ncrna:unclassified sequences NMT1 RNA
CGCAAGAGUAGAAGCGUUCAGCAGCGCACGCACCACCGUUGUGCGCCCGCCCGGAAAUUGCUCUUGAA